rnacentral:rRNA from 1 species
AUUGAACGCUGGCGGCAGGCCUAACACAUGCAAGUCGAGCGAGCGGCGGACGGGUGAGUAAUGUCUGGGAAACUGCCUGAUGGAGGGGGAUAACUACUGGAAACGGUAGCUAAUACCGCAUACCAUCAGAUGUGCCCAGGUGGGAUUAGCUAGGAGGUGGGGUAACGGCUCACCUAGGCGACAAUCCCUAGCUGGUCGGAGAGGAUAACCAGCCAGACUGGAACUGAGACACGGUCCAGACUCCUACGGGAGGCAGCAGUGGGGAAUAUUGUGCAAGGGGCGCAAGGCUGAUGCAGCCAAGCCGAGUGUGGGAAGAAGGCCUUCGGGUUGUAAAGCACUUUCAGCGGGGAAGCGUUACCCGCAGAAGAAGCACCGGCGAACUCCGGGCCAGCAGCCGCGGUAAUAC